rnacentral:misc_RNA from 1 species
CGAAUCAAGGGAAGCGUGCCGGUGCAGGCAAGAGACCACCGUAAGCGUCGUUGCAACCAAUUAAGCGCCGAUUCCAAUCAGCGCGACUACGCCCUCGCUGCCUAAGCGACGGCUGGUCUGUCAGACCGGGAACGCCCUCGGCCCGGAUCCUGGCAUCAGCUAGAGGGACCCACCCACGGGUUCGGUCGCGGAAUUCGUGGGGACAUCAAACAGCGACUGGGAUCGUCAUCUCAGCUUGUUCGCGUGACUGAGAGAUCCGAGUAGAGGCACAGCGAACUGCGCACGGAGAAGCCUCGAGGACAUGCC